rnacentral:lncRNA from 1 species
UUGUGAUUCUCAUCUUCUACAACACCAAGAUGGUAGAAUUUUGUGAACCAUUGAGUGCUAUGGGUAUAAAUGUGCAUGGUGACGAAGAAAGGGAAAGGAGUUGCAAGUUCUUCUAAUGCGCCUCAAGGGGAUGAUGCGCAACAAAAGAGAAGACGAUUGGCUCGGAUAGGAGACCCGGACUUGGAGGAGGAUGCACCUCCAAUGGGUCCGAAGCCGGAUUGGACAUCCGGUUCAUUGUUAGAC